GCGAGCCUGCGAAGGUAAGCGAAUCCCAAAAAUAACGUCUCAGUUCGGAUUGUAGUCUGCAACUCGACUACAUGAAGCUGGAAUCGCUAGUAAUCGCGAAUCAGAAUGUCGCGGUGAAUACGUUCCCGGGUCUUGUACACACCGCCCGUCACACCAUGGGAGUCAGUAACGCCCGAAGUCAGUGACCCAACCAAGUAAGGAGGGAGCUGCCGAAGGUGGGACCGAUAACUGGGGUGAAGUCGUAACAAGGUAAC
rnacentral:rRNA from 1 species